UACGGGGGGAGCAAGCGUUGUUCGGAUUUACUGGGCGUAAAGGGCGCGUAGGCGGUCAGCACAAGUCAGUUGUGAAAUCUCCGGGCUUAACUCGGAAAGGUCAACUGAUACUGCCAUGACUUGAGUCCGGUAGGGGAGUGUGGAAUUCCCGGUGUAGCGGUGAAAUGCGUAGAUAUCGGAAGGAACACCAGUGGCGAAAGCGGCUUCCUGGUCCAGCACCGACGUUCAGGCACGAAAGCGUGGGGAGCAAACAGG
rnacentral:rRNA from 1 species